GAUGAACGCUGGCGGCGUGCCUAAUACAUGCAAGUCGAGCGAGUGGCGGACGGGGGGGUAAUGUCUGGGAAACUGCCCGAUGGAGGGGGAUAACUACUGGAAACGGUAGCUAAUACCGCAUACCCUCGGAUGUGCCCAGAUGGGAUUAGCUAGUAGGUGGGGUAACGGCUCACCCAGGCGACGAUCCAUAGCUGGUCUGCGAGGAUGACCAGCCACACUGGAACUGAGACACGGUCCAGACUCCUACGGGAGGCAGCAGUGGGGAAUAUUGCACAAUGGGCGCAAGCCGGAUGCAGCCAUGCCGCGUGUAUGAUGAAGGCCUUCGGGUUGUAAAGUACUUUCAGCGAGGAGGCGUUACUCGCAGAAGAAGCACCGGCUAACUCCGUGCCAGCAGCCGCGGUAAUAC
rnacentral:rRNA from 1 species